AGACACUACUCUCACCUUUCCAUGUUUUAGACAUGCUGUGCUGGAUUCCCUGCUUCUUUCUGGGCUUUUUAUUUUGGGGCUCAGCUCAUGGGGUUCCCCAGACAAACGCCUGCCCCGACAUCACAGACCAGGAGCUGUUCUGGGGUUCUGACCAGUACGACUUUGCUAUAGUGCUCCCUGCUGCUGGGUUGGAGUGUUUCUGGCACUUUGCUCACCGUGGAGAGAGAUUUUACUUGAACUUCAUGCUCAGCAUUUAACAGCAUCAUCUUCUCAAAACUUGCCUCGGAGCUUGUUGACCUUGGGCUGGGAACAUCUAUCUGCAGAUGGAUUCUCUGAUUCCUCACAAACAAGCCCCAGGUGGUGAGAGUUGCGUUCCUCAGGGCGUGAGACCCUCGCCAUUUCGCGUCAGGACCAGCGCCGGUGCAGACCAUUUUCUACCCACACAGAGCGUUUCUGACAGGCGGCCGUUGCUUAUGCGUAAGAGAAAAGAACAAUACAACGCGGUUCUCUGCUCCAAGACAUCCGCGGUCCUUUCACACGAUGAUGAAAUCCUCUUUAUUUGAGAAAGUGUCCCUAAGCUACUGCGGCUCACUGAGUUCCCUAGCUACUUCUUUACUAUGUCAGUAAACUUUUUGAACAAGAAAGGUAUGGUAGAUUUAAGACACAUCUUAAUUGAAGCAAAGGCAAAAAAUCUGAAUGAAUCUUAUGUGGUUGUUCAUAUUAAAUCCAUCAAAGAGUGAAAAUCCAAAAGCUGCUGCAAUCCUUUGUAUUAAUGAUCUCUCUCUCUGUGUGUGUGCGUGCGUGCGUGCGUGCGCGCGCGUGUGUGUGUGUGAGAGAGUCCGUGCGUGCUCGCAGAAGGAAGGUCAAGGCAGGAGCUUUUUUGUUUGAAUGCAUUUCCAAUCAGCUUUUUUUUUUUUUUUUUACAAGAAGUGUGGCUCAUACAUUGCAAUAAAUGUAUUCUGCUACAUCUGCUAACGAGAGAACAUGUUUUUUCAUCAUAAAGACUGUGAUAUGAAGCAUUGUUAAAGUGUCACUUCAGUAAUGCUGCUGAGAGAAACAAGUGUUGACUCAUUUUUUUUUUAAAAUACAUGACUUAAAACACUAAAUUCUAAUUUCAAAGGUUUAUUUUAAGUUUAAAGAAUAUAACAGCUGGUAAGACGAUGAGUUUUGCUUCUCACUGUCCAUGUUAUGUUGUAGUAUCCAUUAUCAUGUAUGCUACUUUGCUCUGUGGACUGUAAAAUGUUUCAUUGUAUUCAUGAAAUAAACCAGACUUUCAAUGUCUGAAUCUUUUACCGUUUUUCUGCUUUUGUUCACCCCAAGUUGACAAAACCUGAAGAUAUCCAGAGUUAACUCACUAAAAUGUGGAGCAGUCUCAGUGUAUUCAGCUGCUUUUAUCCUAAACACAAUAUAAAUAUACAAUACACAAUAUAGUGUGUGUGUGUGUGUGUGUGUGUGUGUGUGUGUGUGUGUGAAUGCCUUAGAAGUCAAAAGUAU
ensembl:lncRNA